rnacentral:lncRNA from 1 species
AUAUUUCAUAAAAAUAUGAAAAUUUGGGAUACGGACGCAUGCCUGUAAUCCCAGCUAUGGGAAGCUGAGACAUGAGAAUCACUUGAACCUGGGAGGCAGAGGUUGCAGUGAGCUGAGAUCACACCACUGCACUCCAGCCUGGCCGAUAAAGUGAGGCUCUGUUUCAAAACAAACAAACAAACAAACAAACAAUGCACAGGCAGGCUUUAUUCUUUCUCUCUGCGUGUCUGCAGGAUGCCAGUCUAUGAGGACCAAAAGCUCAUUCCCUGGGAAAGGGAGUCAGCUCUAAAUGGGUUUUCUUCACCUCUGAUUAUUCUCUCCUGUAACGGAACCCUUGGAGAGCCUCUAUUUUCAAGUUAUUUAGAAAAUGAGACCUCUUACUUAAAAAAAGUCAUGUGGUAUUAAAUGUCUUCUUGUCCUCAGAAUAUUAGGUUAGUGCAAAAGAAAUUGCAGUUUUUGUCAUUACUUUUAAUGGCAAAAACUGCAAUUAGUUUUGCACCAACCUAAUACUUCUUAGUCAUACUUCCCCUCAGUUCUCCAAGCCAAGAAGCUCUUAUUUGAACCUAUCCUUAAAAAAGUGUUUACAAUAGCAGCCCGUGACCUGUUGCAGCAUCUCAGCCCCUUCCUAUUGUUUCCUCUCAACUCUGAACCUCAGUCCCACCUUGCGGCGCACUGGAACCACCGUCCUCACGUCAUGUAUGAAGACAGUGAGCAGCUCUGGACUGUCUGUUACCUGCCACCUCUGCUGUGGCUUCAGGAUGGUGAUGGAGUUCCAUCCCGGCCACAUCCUCUUUAGGAUGGAAAAUCCCAGCUCCUCUGCUUGUUGAACCAGAAGACUCUGAUUACCUGGAACAAGCCGUGUCUCCAAGGGUGGUGUCGGGGCUCCUGGCAAGUGGAGAUGAGGCCUUCUGAAAGAUGGCGCUGGUAUUUUCCAUGCUGCCUGGAAGGUCUGCAUGGAGACAGAGCUUCAGGUGCAGCAGACUCUCUUCCAAAUUGGAGAUGACUGCUCUCGGCAGGCACUCUGGAACAAUAAACAUAAUAACGUAAUUUGACAUUCCCCACUCUUUGGGGAAGAGAAUACACCUAUCAUAGCCAUUUUCAAGAGCCAAGAAGGAGGGCAGCCAUAGCAGGGGAAGGCGGGGCCUGAACUUCAAAGGAGACAGGGCUGGUGGUUAUGAACACAAACAGCCUUUCCGUUUUCAAAGCUCCACGGAAUUCUGUGAAAACAGCAACUUUUGCACCCUCUAAUUUUCUUCUUUGUGCUCUGAUUAGCAUCGAGCCGUUCUCCCUUUGCAAUUCAGUAGCCUCUUGAAGGGUGUUUGUUUGCAUGAUAGGACUGAUGGGCAGGUCCUGGCUAGUGGCCUGUCACUUGCUUGCCACCCAGGGCGCCACCACAGAGUGCCCCAGUGAGCUCCCUCCAGCCAUGCGCAGUACAUCAAUCUGAAUGAGGGGCUCAGGCCAUUGAUUUUCUUCCACCGCCCACCCCCGUCACCAAAUGCCAAUUAUUUAUCUCCGUUUCAGAAACGAAGUUCUUAAUUUAAGCCAACAGCUGCCUUACCUGUGAAGAACACUUUCUUUGGGUGUGUUGAAUAACAUCUCCCUGGAGGAGGAGGAUUUCCUUUCCUACAUGCUUCAGAGAAUGGCCAGCUUGAUUCCUUAAAGGACAUGAGCUUCAUCCUUUCCCAGACCCUUCAAACUUAACCCAAAUGACGUCAUAGUUGACACCCUCAAUCUCAAGAUAGAGUCUGGUAAUCUCUUAUAUUUGCGUAGUACUUUAUAAUUCCCAAAGUGCCUUCACCUCCAAAACUUCAUUUAACCUUUACAACAAUGGAGGAGGUAGGUUGGGC